rnacentral:lncRNA from 1 species
UCUCCAUGAACUGAUUUUUUUUGUGCAGUGGGCAGGAAGAACCCAUGGGGCAGUUACACAUCUUGAAAGAGAAGCUCUUCCUGUGAGGUACAUCAACUGUGGUUAAGAAUCUUACGUACUUAUCAUUUUUUGUUGUUGUGAGAACAUUUAACAUCUACUCUUUUCUUUUUCUUUUCUUUUUUCUUUUUUUUUGAGACAGAGUCUUGCUCUGUUGCCCAGGCUGGAGUACAGUGGAGCAAUCUUAGCUAACCGCAACCUUCACCUCCC